GCCGGGUUGGCUCAGCGGGCAGAGCGCCCGCCCGGCGUGCGGGAGGUGGCGGGUUCGAGUCCCGCCUCCGCCG